rnacentral:misc_RNA from 1 species
ACACCUCAACUCUCAUGGUUUUCCGUGAUGAGCUUGGACUUUGGGGGUUUGCUGGCUGCAGUCGGCUCCUCUGAAACAAAUUAGCUUGCCGGUAUUUGGUGGCGUCGCAGGUGUGAUAACUAUCUACGCCCACGGUUGUCUGCCGAGUAACCUCUGGUGACGGAGGUUUGCUGGAGCUUAUAAUUGUCUUUUUUUCAGUAAAGACAGCUUUUUACAGU